rnacentral:tRNA from 1 species
GGGCCUGUAGCUCAGCUGGUAGAGCGCCUGGUUUGCACCCAGGAGGUGGCAGGUUCAAGUCCUGUCAGGUCCACCA